rnacentral:lncRNA from 1 species
CCAUAUAGCCCCAUGACUGGUUUAAGGAAGAGAAAGCUACACAACCCAGGUAAAGUUUUUAAAUGGCAUGCUUAACCUGGUUUGCUUUCCCGGAAUGGUUAUUUAUAUAUGUAUGGUUAGUGUGCAUAUAGAUGGUUUUACUUAGUUUUAUAAUUGGUAUUAUUUUAUCCUUAUCUUAGGUUCAUGCUAACGUUCACCCGCUAACCCAUCUUCGGGUGACUGUAUCCCUACG